rnacentral:tRNA from 1 species
GACUGUGGCUAAGUGGUAGAGCGCUUGCCUAGCAUGUGUGAGGCAUUGGGUUCAAUUCUCAGCACCA